UGCCAGCCGCCGCGGUAACACGGGGGGCGCAAGCGUUAUUCGGAAUUAUUGGGCGUAAAGGGCGCGUAGGCGGUUAUGUAAGUCGGAUGUGAAAGCCCUGGGCUUAACCUGGGAAUUGCAUUCGAUACUGCGUGACUAGAGUAUGGUAGAGGGUAGUGGAAUUCCUGGUGUAGCGGUGAAAUGCGUAGAUAUCAGGAGGAACAUCAGUGGCGAAGGCGACUUCCUGGGCCAAUACUGACGCUGAGGCGCGAAAGCGUGGGUAGCAAACAGGAUUAGAUA
rnacentral:rRNA from 1 species